rnacentral:rRNA from 1 species
AGGUAAGCUACUAAGAGCGAAUGGUGGAUGCCUUGACUGGUAAAGGCGAUGAAGGACGUACUAGACUGCGAUAAGCUACGGGGAGCUGUCAAGAAGCUUUGAUCCGUAGAUUUCCGAAUGGGGCAACCCAAUGUAUAGAGAUAUACAUUACCUAUAUAGGAGCGAACGAGGGGAAUUGAAACAUCUUAGUACCCUCAGGAAAAGAAAUCAAUAGAGAUUGCGUCAGUAGCGGCGAGCGAAAGCGCAAGAGGGCAAACCCAGUGCUUGCACUGGGGGUUGUAGGACUGCAAUGUGCAAGAGGUAAGUUUAGCAGAACAUUCUGGAAAGUAUAACCAUAGAGGGUGAUAGUCCCGUAUGCGAAAAACAAACCUUAGCUAGCAGUAUCCUGAGUAGGGCGGGACACGAGGAAUCCUGUCUGAAUCCGGGUCGACCACGAUCCAACCCUAAAUACUAAUACCAGAUCGAUAGUGCACAAGUACCGUGAGGGAAAGGUGAAAAGAACUGAGGUGAUCAGAGUGAAAUAGAACCUGAAACCAUUUGCUUACAAUCAUUCAGAGCCCUAUGUAGCAAUACAGGGUGAUGGACUGCCUUUUGCAUAAUGAGCCUGCGAGUUGUGGUGUCUGGCAAGGUUAAGCAAACGCGAAGCCGUAGCGAAAGCGAGUCUGAAUAGGGCGCUUAGUCAGAUGCUGCAGACCCGAAACGAAGUGAUCUAUCCAUGAGCAAGUUGAAGCUAGUGUAAGAACUAGUGGAGGACUGAACCCAUAGGCGUUGAAAAGCCCCGGGAUGACUUGUGGAUAGGGGUGAAAGGCCAAUCAAACUUCGUGAUAGCUGGUUCUCUCCGAAAUAUAUUUAGGUAUAGCGUUGUGUCGUAAUAUAAGGGGGUAGAGCACUGAAUGGGCUAGGGCAUACACCAAUGUACCAAACCCUAUCAAACUCCGAAUACCUUAUAUGUAAUCACAGCAGUCAGGCGGCGAGUGAUAAAAUCCGUCGUCAAGAGGGAAACAACCCAGACUACCAGCUAAGGUCCCUAAAUCUUACUUAAGUGGAAAACGAUGUGAAGUUACUUAAACAACCAGGAGGUUGGCUUAGAAGCAGCCAUCCUUUAAAGAAAGCGUAAUAGCUCACUGGUCUAGUGAUUUUGCGCGGAAAAUAUAACGGGGCUAAAGUAAGUACCGAAGCUGUAGACUUGCACACAACUUAGAUUAUUUAAGUUUAGAAUAUGAGAAACUAAGUUAUAUGUUUAGUUAUAUUUUUACUGAUUUUUAUAGAGUAAAGAUAGAAAUAAAACUUAGUAAAAUCAGUAAAAAUAUUCUUAGACUAAAGUUAAGUAGUUUAAGUUGUGUGCAAGUGGUAGGAGAGCGUUCUAUUUGCGUCGAAGGUAUACCGGUAAGGAGUGCUGGAGCGAAUAGAAGUGAGCAUGCAGGCAUGAGUAGCGAUAAUUAAUGUGAGAAUCAUUAACGCCGUAAACCCAAGGUUUCCUACGCGAUGCUCGUCAUCGUAGGGUUAGUCGGGUCCUAAGUCGAGUCCGAAAGGGGUAGACGAUGGCAAAUUGGUUAAUAUUCCAAUACCAACAUUAGUGUGCGAUGGAAGGACGCUUAGGGCUAAGGGGGCUAGCGGAUGGAAGUGCUAGUCUAAGGUCGUAGGAGGUUAUACAGGCAAAUCCGUAUAACAAUACUCCGAGAACUGAAAGGCUUUUUGAAGUCUUCGGAUGGAUAGAAGAACCCCUGAUGCCGUCGAGCCAAGAAAAGUUUCUAAGUUUAGCUAAUGUUGCCCGUACCGUAAACCGACACAGGUGGGUGGGAUGAGUAUUCUAAGGCGCGUGGAAGAACUCUCUUUAAGGAACUCUGCAAAAUAGCACCGUAUCUUCGGUAUAAGGUGUGGUUAGCUUUGUAUUAGGAUUUACUCCGAAAGCAAGGAAACUUACAACAAAGAGUCCCUCCCGACUGUUUACCAAAAACACAGCACUCUGCUAACUCGUAAGAGGAUGUAUAGGGUGUGACGCCUGCCCGGUGCUCGAAGGUUAAUUGAUGGGGUUAGCAUUAGCGAAGCUCUUGAUCGAAGCCCGAGUAAACGGCGGCCGUAACUAUAACGGUCCUAAGGUAGCGAAAUUCCUUGUCGGUUAAAUACCGACCUGCAUGAAUGGCGUAACGAGAUGGGAGCUGUCUCAAAGAGGGAUCCAGUGAAAUUGUAGUGGAGGUGAAAAUUCCUCCUACCCGCGGCAAGACGGAAAGACCCCGUGGACCUUUACUACAGCUUGACACUGCUACUUGGAUAAGAAUGUGCAGGAUAGGUGGGAGGCUUUGAGUAUAUGACGCCAGUUGUAUAUGAGCCAUUGUUGAGAUACCACUCUUUCUUAUUUGGGUAGCUAACCAGCUUGA